rnacentral:rRNA from 1 species
CAGCGGAGGGAUCAUUACCGAGUUUACAACUCCCAAACCCCUGUGAACAUACCUUAAUGUUGCCUCGGCGGAUCAGCCCGCGCCCCGUAAAACGGGACGGCCCGCCAGAGGACCCAAACUCUAAUGUUUCUUAUUGUAACUUCUGAGUAAAACAAACAAAUAAAUCAAAACUUUCAACAACGGAUCUCUUGGUUCUGGCAUCGAUGAAGAACGCAGCAAAAUGCGAUAAGUAAUGUGAAUUGCAGAAUUCAGUGAAUCAUCGAAUCUUUGAACGCACAUUGCGCCCGCUGGUAUUCCGGCGGGCAUGCCUGUUCGAGCGUCAUUUCAACCCUCAAGCCCCCGGGUUUGGUGUUGGGGAUCGGCUCUGCCUCACGGCGGUGCCGCCCCCGAAAUAUAUUGGCGGUCUCGCUGCAGCCUCCAUUGCGUAGUAGCUAACACCUCGCAACUGGAACGCGGCGCGGCCAUGCCGUAAAACCCCAACUUCUGAAUGUUGACCUCGGAUCAGGUAGGAAUACCCGCUGAACUUAA